CCUACGGGGGGCAGCAGUGAGGAAUAUUGGUCAAUGGACGAGAGUCUGAACCAGCCAAGUAGCGUGAAGGAUGACUGCCCUAUGGUUUGUAAACUUCUUUUAUCUGGGAAUAAAACGUUCCACGUGUGGGAUUUUGUAUGUACCAUAUGAAUAAGAAUCGGCUAACUCCGUGCCAGCAGCCGCGGUAAUACGGAGGAUCCGAGCGUUAUCCGGAUUUAUUGGGUUUAAAGGGAGCGUAGGUGGAUUGUUAAGUCAGUUGUGAAAGUUUGCGGCUCAACCGUAAAAUUGCAGUUGAUACUGGUAGUCUUGAGUACAGUAGAGGUGGGCGGAAUUCGUGGUGUAGCGGUGAAAUGCGUAGAGAUCACGAAGAACUCCGAUUGCGAAGGCAGUUCACUGGACUGCAACUGACACUGAGGCUCGAAAGUGUGGGUAUCAAACAGGAUUAGAUACCCGAGUAGUC
rnacentral:rRNA from 1 species